rnacentral:rRNA from 1 species
AGAGUUUGAUCCUGGCUCAGAUUGAACGCUGGCGGAAUGCUUUACACAUGCAAGUCGAACGGCAGCACGGGGGCAACCCUGGUGGCGAGUGGCGAACGGGUGAGUAACACAUCGGAACGCGUCCUGUAAUGGGGGAUAACCUGGCGAAAGCCAGGCUAAUACCGCAUACGUCCUGAGGGAGAAAGCGGGGGAUUGGCAACGACCUCGCGUUAUAGGAGCGGCCGAUGUCGGAUUAGCUAGUUGGUGGGGUAAAGGCCUACCAAGGCGACGAUCCGUAGCGGGUCUGAGAGGACGGCCCGCCACACUGGGACUGAGACACGGCCCAGACUCCUACGGGAGGCAGCAGUGGGGAAUUUUGGACAAUGGGCGCAAGCCUGAUCCAGCCAUUCCGCGUGAGUGAAGAAGGCCUUCGGGUUGUAAAGCUCUUUCGGCCGGGAAGAAAUCGUGCGGGUUAAUACCCUGUAUGGAUGACGGUACCGGAAGAAGAAGCACCGGCUAACUACGUGCCAGCAGCCGCGGUAAUAC